GUUGCCGGAGCCGUGAGCCGUGCCUGGUGGCGCUGGCAGCACAAGUAUGUGUUCCCCAAGCGCGCUGGUAUCGCUCCCUUCUUCCAGCUGACCGUCGCCAGCAUGACGUUCUUCUACUUGAUCAACUACACCAAGUUGAAGCACCACAGGAACUACAA
rfam:Drosophila ananassae strain TSC#14024-0371.13 Ctg01_18818, whole genome shotgun sequence.